GGGGAUGUAGCUCAGUGGUAGAGCGCGUGCUUUGCAUGUAUGAUGUCCAGGGUUCGACCCCCUGCGUUUCCA